rnacentral:rRNA from 1 species
GAUGAACGCUGGCGGCGUGCUUAACACAUGCAAGUCGAACGGAAAGGCUCCUGCUUGCAGGGGUACUCGAGUGGCGAACGGGUGAGUAACACGUGGGUGAUCUGCCCUGCACUUCGGGAUAAGCCUGGGAAACUGGGUCUAAUACCGGAUAGGACGAUGGUUUGGAUGCCAUUGUGGAAAGUUUUUCGGUGUGGGAUGAGCUCGUGGCCUAUCAGCUUGUUGGUGGGGUAAUGGCCUACCAAGGCGUCGACGGGUAGCCGGCCUGAGAGGGUGUACGGCCACAUUGGGACUGAGAUACGGCCCAGACUCCUACGGGAGGCAGCAGUGGGGAAUAUUGCACAAUGGGCGCAAGCCUGAUGCAGCGACGCCGCGUGGGGGAUGACGGCCUUCGGGUUGUAAACUCCUUUCGCUAGGGACGAAGCGCAAGUGACGGUACCUGGAGAAGAAGCACCGGCUAACUACGUG